CAAAGAUCCAUUCCCUUGGGUUAGGAGCUAACCUUUUCAAACAAGCCAUUGUUGGGCCUGAUAACUCAAAGUAGGUCUAUCAAUCCUUCACACCUUAGUGUGACUUUGCUGAAUGCAAAUAAUAAGUCCCUGAGGAAAAAGAAGGCUUGAGUGGGGACCUGACACAAAGAUUCUGGCCUCUGAGAGCUUCAGAAGUAAGGCCUUACCUACUCUGAGAAGGGAAGGCAAGAUUAAGGUAAAAGGGAAAUGGGAGAAGAAUAAUGGCAAAAUGGAGUUGUUUGACAAUUUCCUAAAGUGAAAGGUAAGGUUAUUUAACUAGAUAGGAAGAAACACACUAUAAUGAUAUGAUUAUUGUCAACUUUUAUUUUCUUCUUUCUCCUACACUUUUUUUUUAGGGGGUACGGGAAUUGAAACUUAGACUGCCUACAUGUGAAGCAGGUGCUCAACUACUAAGCUGCAUGUGCUCCACUCUUCCUCCUUUUUUAAAAGCUAUUGAAACACUUAAGUCAGAUUUUCUGAGGAAAAUCCCUGAAUCCCAACUGGUUCAGUGGCAGAGCCAAGAUAUUCCAACGCUGUCCUCAGCCCUUCUGGGGGAGUCAAGAAGACCCUGAGCUAGAAGGAUGCAGGGGAAGUGCGUGUCGGCUGUGGAAAUGUCACGACAUCAAGAGCUGGGUGGACAAAGCUGCACAUGCCAGGAGUUACUGGAGAUCAAACCCGGGAGGCAGAUGCUUUGCCACUUGAGCUACAUCUACUGCCUAAGAUGGACUUUGAUGGACCCAGCUUGCGAAUUCUGCUGGGCCUUAUCAGAGUUUGUAGAAGAAAACAGCUGAGGAUUGAGCACAGUGAACUAUUUCCUCACAUUUUUCAAUAAGCAAUAGUUGGUGCAAAGGAAUGUAAACAUUCUAUGAUAAAAGGAGUUCAAAAAGAAGCCCUAAAUCCUUAAAAUUAAGAAACCAAUAAACCAAAACAUAAAACUGCACGACUAUUUGCAUGGCUGACAAGAAGAAGAAAAAGAAUUUCAGAUAUCUGUUUGAAGAAGUGAACAAUAAAACAAGUAUAUUUAAAAUUAAGAUUAUAUUAAAUGCUGUACAAUAGAAAAAAUAUAGAAGACACCACAUAAAAGAAAGUAAAAGUAAGCUUUUAUUGUCAGAGGACAUCUUUAAGAAUCAUGAUUCAAGGUAAUAUUACUUCCCUUAUUUCUGAUCCAUUGCCCACAAAGCCUGAAUUUUUCCUUUUUUUAUGAACUUGUCUUGUAUCUUUCACCUUUCCCUGUUUGUCAGGGCAUCUCAGAAAGCAUCCUUUUAAAAAUUACUUAUUUCUUACAUGCCACAGCUCUGGUUACAUGUUUUUCAGUUGUUAACACUUGCACUGAACUCUCAGCAGCCCUCUUUGUUUACUUACAGAGUUAUCCUUCAUUUUAUGAAGAUGAUACUACCAUGCAGCCAUCAAUAUUAGACAAUUCAGGUUGUUUUCUGGAAGUGAUGAUGGAUUUACAUUACCUACUCAUAUUUUCCAGGAUGGUUCCCCAGAAACUGUGGACAUUAAUUGAAACAAAGGGUUUCUCAGGGUUAAGUAUAUUAGAAUAGAGCAGUGAUUCUUAAAUUUUGCUGCAUGUCAGAAUCAUUUGGGGAGUUUAUGUUUUGCUAUCCAGGCCACAUCCCUUAACCAUUAAAUCCAAAUUUCCAGGUAAGGUACCCAAGCCUCAGGUUUGUAAAUUUUAAUCUAUUAUUAGGGAUAUGUGUCUAUAGUCUUUUCUUGUAAUAUCUUUUUCUUAAACAGCUUUAUAGAGGUAUAUUAAUGUAGGUUCUGACAUAUGUUUGUAUCUGUGAAACCACCACCAUAGUCAAGGUUUUGAAUAUAUCCAUGUUUCAUCAUGUCCCUUUGUAAUUUCUUCCUCCUAUCUUCUCUGCCAUCC
ensembl:lincRNA